rnacentral:tRNA from 2 species
GUUUUAAUAGUUUAAGUAAAAUAAUGAUCUUGUAAAUCAUAGAUAGGAAAUAACCUUUAAAACU